rnacentral:rRNA from 1 species
UAGGGAAUCUUCCGCAAUGGACGAAAGUCUGACGGAGCAACGCCGCGUGAGCGAUGAAGGCCUUCGGGUCGUAAAGCUCUUUUGUUAGGGAAGAACAAGUAUCGGAGUAACUGCCGGUACCUUGACGGUACCUAACCAGAAAGCCACGGCUAACUACGUGCCAGCAGCCGCGGUAAUACGUAGGUGGCAAGCGUUGUCCGGAAUUAUUGGGCGUAAAGCGCGCGCAGGCGGUCCUUUAAGUCUGAUGUGAAAGCCCACGGCUCAACCGGGGAGGGUCAUUGGAAACUGGGGGACUUGAGUGCAGAAGAGGAAAGCGGAAUUCCACGUGUAGCGGUGAAAUGCGUAGAGAUGGGGAGGAACACCAGUGGCGAAGGCGGCUUUCUGGUCUGUAACUGACGCUGAGGCGCGAAAGCGUGGGGAGCAAACAGG